GGGGAAUAUUGCACAAUGGGCGAAAGCCUGAUGCAGCAACGCCGCGUGAGUGAUGAAGGUCUUCGGAUUGUAAAGCUCUGUCUUUUGGGACGAUAAUGACGGUACCAAAGGAGGAAGCCACGGCUAACUACGUGCCAGCAGCCGCGGUAAUACGUAGGUGGCAAGCGUUGUCCGGAUUUACUGGGCGUAAAGGGUGCGUAGGUGGAUAUUUAAGUCAGAUGUGAAACCCCUGGGCUCAACUCAGGGACUGCAUUUGAAACUGGAUAUCUUGAGUGCAGGAGAGGUAAGUGGAAUUCCUAGUGUAGCGGUGAAAUGCGUAGAGAUUAGUAAGAACACCAGUGGCGAAGGCGACUUACUGGACCGUAACUGACACUGAGGCACGAAAGCGUGGGUAGCAAAC
rnacentral:rRNA from 1 species